GAGUUUGAUCCUGGCUCAGAGCGAACGCUGGCGGCAGGCCUAACACAUGCAAGUCGAACGGACCCUUCGGGGUUAGUGGCGGACGGGUGAGUAACACGUGGGAACGUGCCUUUAGGUUCGGAAUAGCUCCCGGAAACGGGUGGUAAUGCCGAAUGUGCCCUUCGGGGAAAGAUUUAUCGCCUUUAGAGCGGCCCGCGUCUGAUUAGCUAGUUGGUGAGGUAACGGCUCACCAAGGCGACGAUCAGUAGCUGGUCUGAGAGGAUGACCAGCCACACUGGGACUGAGACACGGCCCAGACUCCUACGGGAGGCAGCAGUGGGGAAUCUUGCGCAAUGGGCGAAAGCCUGACGCAGCCAUGCCGCGUGAAUGAUGAAGGUCUUAGGAUUGUAAAAUUCUUUCACCGGGGACGAUAAUGACGGUACCCGGAGAAGAAGCCCCGGCUAACUUCGUGCCAGCCGCCGCGGUAAC
rnacentral:rRNA from 1 species